AGAGUUUGAUCAUGGCUCAGGAUAAACGCUGGCGGCGCACAUAAGACAUGCAAGUCGAACGGACUUAACCAUUAGUUUACUAUUGGGGCGGUUAGUGGCGGACUGGUGAGUAACACGUAAGCAACCUGCCUGUUAGAGGGGAACAACAGUUAGAAAUGACUGCUAAUACCGCAUAUGCCUUAGUUAUCGCAUGAUAAUAGAGGGAAAGGAGCAAUCCGCUAACAGAUGGGCUUGCGUCUGAUUAGAUAGUUGGUGUGGUAACGGCCUACCAAGUCGACGAUCAGUAGCCGG
rnacentral:rRNA from 1 species